rnacentral:rRNA from 1 species
UACGUAGGUGACAAGCGUUGUCCGGAUUUACUGGGCGUAAAGAGCGCGCAGGCGGUCGAUCAAGUCGAGUGUGAAAGCCCCCGGCUCAACUGGGGAGGGUCAUUCGAUACUGAUCAACUCGAAGGCAGGAGAGGGUAGUGGAAUUCCCGGUGUAGUGGUGAAAUGCGCAGAUAUCGGGAGGAACACCGGUGGCGAAGGCGGUUCUCUGGGCCUGACCUGACGCUGAGGAGCGAAAGCGUGGGGAGCGAACAGG